GACGAACGCUGGCGGCGUGCCUAAUACAUGCAAGUAGAACGCUGAAGAGAGGAGCUUGCUCUUCUUGGAUGAGUUGCGAACGGGUGAGUAACGCGUAGGUAACCUACCUUGUAGCGGGGGAUAACUAUUGGAAACGAUAGCUAAUACCGCAUAACAAUGGAUGACACAUGUCAUUUAUUUGAAAGGGGCAAUUGCUCCACUACAAGAUGGACCUGCGUUGUAUUAGCUAGUAGGUGAGGUAAUGGCUCACCUAGGCGACGAUACAUAGCCGACCUGAGAGGGUGAUCGGCCACACUGGGACUGAGACACGGCCCAGACUCCUACGGGAGGCAGCAGUAGGGAAUCUUCGGCAAUGGGGGCAACCCUGACCGAGCAACGCCGCGUGAGUGAAGAAGGUUUUCGGAUCGUAAAGCUCUGUUGUAAGUCAAGAACGGGUGUGAGAGUGGAAAGUUCACACUGUGACGGUAGCUUACCAGAAAGGGACGGCUAACUACGUGCCAGCAGCCGCGGUAAUACGUAGGUCCCGAGCGUUGUCCGGAUUUAUUGGGCGUAAAGCGAGCGCAGGCGGUUUGAUAAGUCUGAAGUUAAAGGCUGUGGCUCAACCAUAGUUCGCUUUGGAAACUGUCAAACUUGAGUGCAGAAGGGGAGAGUGGAAUUCCAUGUGUAGCGGUGAAAUGCGUAGAUAUAUGGAGGAACACCGGUGGCGAAAGCGGCUCUCUGGUCUGUAACUGACGCUGAGGCUCGAAAGCGUGGGGAGCGAACAGGAUUAGAUACCCUGGUAGUCCACGCCGUAAGCGAUGAGUGCUAGGUGUUGGAUCCUUUCCGGGAUUCAGUGCCGCAGCUAACGCAUUAAGCACUCCGCCUGGGGAGUACGACCGCAAGGUUGAAACUCAAAGGAAUUGACGGGGGCCCGCACAAGCGGUGGAGCAUGUGGUUUAAUUCGAAGCAACGCGAAGAACCUUACCAGGUCUUGACAUCCCGAUGCUAUUUCUAGAGAUAGAAAGUUACUUCGGUACAUCGGUGACAGGUGGUGCAUGGUUGUCGUCAGCUCGUGUCGUGAGAUGUUGGGUUAAGUCCCGCAACGAGCGCAACCCCUAUUGUUAGUUGCCAUCAUUCAGUUGGGCACUCUAGCGAGACUGCCGGUAAUAAACCGGAGGAAGGUGGGGAUGACGUCAAAUCAUCAUGCCCCUUAUGACCUGGGCUACACACGUGCUACAAUGGUUGGUACAACGAGUUGCGAGUCGGUGACGGCGAGCUAAUCUCUUAAAGCCAAUCUCAGUUCGGAUUGUAGGCUGCAACUCGCCUACAUGAAGUCGGAAUCGCUAGUAAUCGCGGAUCAGCACGCCGCGGUGAAUACGUUCCCGGGCCU
rnacentral:rRNA from 1 species